UCGAGCGGUAGAGAGAACUUGCUUCUCUUGAGAGCGGCGGACGGGUGAGUAAUGCCUAGGAAUCUGCCUGGUAGUGGGGGAUAACGUUCGGAAACGGACGCUAAUACCGCAUACGUCCUACGGGAGAAAGCAGGGGACCUUCGGGCCUUGCGCUAUCAGAUGAGCCUAGGUCGGAUUAGCUAGUUGGUGAGGUAAUGGCUCACCAAGGCGACGAUCCGUAACUGGUCUGAGAGGAUGAUCAGUCACACUGGAACUGAGACACGGUCCAGACUCCUACGGGAGGCAGCAGUGGGGAAUAUUGGACAAUGGGCGAAAGCCUGAUCCAGCCAUGCCGCGUGUGUGAAGAAGGUCUUCGGAUUGUAAAGCACUUUAAGUUGGGAGGAAGGGUUGUAGAUUAAUACUCUGCAAUUUUGACGUUACCGACAGAAUAAGCACCGGCUAACUCUGUGCCAGCAGCCGCGGUAAUACAGAGGGUGCAAGCGUUAAUCGGAAUUACUGGGCGUAAAGCGCGCGUAGGUGGUUUGUUAAGUUGGAUGUGAAAUCCCCGGGCUCAACCUGGGAACUGCAUUCAAAACUGACUGACUAGAGUAUGGUAGAGGGUGGUGGAAUUUCCUGUGUAGCGGUGAAAUGCGUAGAUAUAGGAAGGAACACCAGUGGCGAAGGCGACCACCUGGACUAAUACUGACACUGAGGUGCGAAAGCGUGGGGAGCAAACAGGAUUAGAUACCCUGGUAGUCCACGCCGUAAACGAUGUCAACUAGCCGUUGGAAGCCUUGAGCUUUUAGUGGCGCAGCUAACGCAUUAAGUUGAC
rnacentral:rRNA from 1 species